rnacentral:rRNA from 1 species
UAGGGAAUCUUCGGCAAUGGACGCAAGUCUGACCGAGCAACGCCGCGUGAGUGAAGAAGGUUUUCGGAUCGUAAAACUCUGUUGUUAGAGAAGAACAAGGAUGAGAGUAGAAUGUUCAUCCCUUGACGGUAUCUAACCAGAAAGCCACGGCUAACUACGUGCCAGCAGCCGCGGUAAUACGUAGGUGGCAAGCGUUGUCCGGAUUUAUUGGGCGUAAAGCGAGCGCAGGCGGUUUCUUAAGUCUGAUGUGAAAGCCCCCGGCUCAACCGGGGAGGGUCAUUGGAAACUGGGAAACUUGAGUGCAGAAGAGGGGAGUGGAAUUCCAUGUGUAGCGGUGAAAUGCGUAGAUAUAUGGAGGAACACCAGUGGCGAAGGCGGCUCUCUGGUCUGUAACUGACGCUGAGGCUCGAAAGCGUGGGGAGCAAACAGG